AAAUCAUUUGAAACUAAGGGUCAAGAUUUGCCAACACUUAUUUUGUCAACUUAUUUUGUACAACUAAAUUAAUUGUUAUUUUAUAUUUAUACAAUGGCGCAGGGCGCCCUUGCGCGUGCGCGUGCGUCUUUAUAUAGAUCACCUUGUUUGGCACCAAUCAGUAUAGACCUGGCAAAGGCAAAUAUUCUGAAAUCUCUAAUUAGGCAAGAAGAUCCAACAAACUAGCGUAGCUGGAUGUAAUUCAGCUUAAUGACGAAAAUACACCCAAACACCAGUAGCGCCACCGCUUCACAGCCGUCAAAACCUUUAAGUAGCAGCGAUGCCAACAGCUCGGUGGUCCUCACCGUCUGGAAGAAAUCGCUUCUCUUUAACUGCGACGGUUUCACGGUGUUCGACUCCAAGGGAAACCUCGUCUUUCGCGUCGACAAUUACAUGGCUGCAGAUAAAGGAGAAAUUGUUCUCAUGGACGCCUCCGGCAACUCUCUUUUCACCAUCCGCCGCAAGGUAUACCUAUAUACAGAUCGCGUNA
rnacentral:lncRNA from 1 species